GGCCAAGUUUUUAAGGGCGCACGGUGGAUGCCUUGGCACCAGGAACCGAUGAAGGACGUGGGAGGCCGCGAUAGGCCCCGGGGAGCUGUCAACCGAGCUGUGAUCCGGGGGUGUCCGAAUGGGGAAACCCGGCAGUCGUCAUGGGCUGUCACCCAUACCUGAACACAUAGGGUAUGUGGAGGGAACGCGGGGAAGUGAAACAUCUCAGUACCCGCAGGAAGAGAAAACAACCGUGAUUCCGGGAGUAGUGGCGAGCGAAACCGGAUGAGGCUAAACCGUUUACGUGUGAUACCCGGCAGGGGUUGCGUAUGCGGGGUCGUGGGAGUUUCCUUGAUCGGUCUGCCGGCCGGUCGGAGAGUCAGAAACCGUUUGUGUAGGCGAAGGACAUGCGAAAGGUCCGGCGUAGAGGGUAAGACCCCCGUAGCUGAAACAUGAGCGGCUCUCUUGGAGAUCACCCAAGUAGCACAGGGCCCGAGAAAUCCUGUGUGAAUCUGGCGGGACCACCCGUUAAGCCUAAAUAUUCCCUGGUGACCGAUAGCGGAUAGUACCGUGAGGGAAUGGUGAAAAGUACCGCGGGAGCGGAGUGAAAUAGUACCUGAAACCGUGUGCCUACAAGCCGUGGGAGCGUCGCAUCAAGUGCUUGCGCUUGGUGUCGUGACUGCGUGCCUUUUGAAGAAUGAGCCUGCGAGUUUGCGGUGUGUUGCGAGGUUAACCCGUGUGGGGUAGCCGUAGCGAAAGCGAGUCCGAAUAGGGCGGUUGAGUAGCACGCUCAAGACCCG
rnacentral:rRNA from 1 species